rnacentral:rRNA from 1 species
GCGUUAAUCGGAAUUACUGUGCGUAAAGCGUGCGCAGGCGGUUAUAUAAGACAGAUGUGAAAUCCCCGGGCUCAAACUGGGAACUGCAUUUGUGACUGUAUAGCUAGAGUACGGCAGAGGGGGAUGGAAUUCCGCGUGUAGCAGUGAAAUGCGUAGAUAUGCGGAGGAACACCGAUGGCGAAGGCAAUCCCCUGGGCCUGUACUGACGCUCAUGCACGAAAGCGUG